rnacentral:rRNA from 1 species
GCUAGGAUGAACGCUGGCGGCGUGCUUAACACAUGCAAGUCGAGCGAAGCACUUUAAAGGAAGUUUCGGAUGGAAUUUAAAGUGACUGAGCGGCGGACGGGUGAGUAACGCGUGGGUAACCUGCCUCAUACAGGGGGAUAACAGUUGGAAACGACUGCUAAUACCGCAUAAGCGCACAGUGCUGCAUAGCACAGUGUAGAAAAACUCCGGUGGUAUGAGAUGGACCCGCGUCUGAUUAGGUAGUUGGUGGGGUAACGGCCCACCAAGCCGACGAUCAGUAGCCGACCUGAGAGGGUGACCGGCCACAUUGGGACUGAGACACGGCCCAAACUCCUACGGGAGGCAGCAGUGGGGAAUAUUGGACAAUGGGGGAAACCCUGAUCCAGCCGACGCCGCGUGAGUGAAGAAGUGUUUCGGCAUGUAAAGCUCUAUCAGCAGGGAAGAAAAUGACGGUACCUGACUAAGAAGCCCCGGCUAACUACGUGCCAGCAGCCGC